CUUUAACUUAUUUAUUUUAUUCUAAAUAUGUUUUGUAAUUUUCAGAUUUGACAAGUAUGAUUGUUUCCUCAUCACUGAAUGAACAGCGUAGUGUAUUAUUUGUUCUCAGCAAUCUAACUUCUUCAAGGUAGGACGGUCAAGUCAGAUCAGGUACUGUUCUCUGCAGCAACCUGAACGGCACACCUGAUGGAUCUGCGUCACAGAUCUUCUUGUCAAGAAGAGUUUGCCAGAGAAAUCAAUUUAAUUCAACGAGACAGUCAAGCCAAAUCAGCUGCUGUUCUUUGUGGCGACCUGAACAGCACACCUGAUGGAUCUGUGUCAAGGAGAGUUUCUGGAGAAAUCAAUGGAUUAAAAAAAAGUGUUCCAAGGUUUUGGCGGCCGUCUUGAUCUACUCCUUGAACUAUCAAGACAUUCUUUAUAUAAACCUUGUUGGAUGCUUAUGAGGUACUGAGAACCGGAUUGCAUCAUGUUUGAAGGAGAUACAAUGAAAGUGGACUGCGUCAUUCCAAUAUUAAUUCACGAGGAAGUGGCAAGACAUGUUGCUGUAUUGAACACUGUUCUUACUGGAUCACUCUACUUCAGACCUUUGAGCUGAAUUGGAAGGGACAGAUCUUGACUUCAAACCUGAACUUUUAUCCAGCUUACGCUGAAUUGCAUAACAUUCAGUUAUAUGCGCUGCAUUAAGGUAAAAGUAAAUCAAGCACAGUUAAUAGACAGUUUCCGCAUCCAGGUUAAUUCGUGUCUGUAUACGUACGUACGUGUCUGUAUGCAAACUUGUACGUACCCUGUGUAUUUGUUGUGUCAUGCGGAUGCAUGACACAACAAAUACACAGGGUACGUACAAGUUUGCAAACAUUUAGUUUGCCUUGAACUGCACGUCCCUACAUUGCACACAGCAACGUAGAAACGUUGGUAGCGUCCAUUUCUUCAAAACAAAAAUUAUUCACCCCAGAUAGACAUUGCUAUCCAAACAAGCUAUACAUGAAGUGUCAUGAAAGUAAAAACUUUUGUUAUUAGGAAUGCAAUUUGAUGCUAAAUGUGGUGUGCAAAACCGAAAUUUCAUACACACCAGUUCCGUACAAAGUUGCUUCCAGAUGUCACUGUGUGCAGGGCUUCUCCGCAUUAUGUUUAACAAGACAUAACAGGCCUAAAGUGAUGAUGUCAUAAGCAAAAAAGAUAUGGAUACGUGAUACAUGCUCAUUUUCUGUUUGCCAAAACUGUCUAUUUGGGAGGCUUUCGUAGAAGACUGUUUUUUGCCUACACAAAAGUUUUGUAAUAAUGGGUCGUAUGAAUAAAAACUAGCAAAUGCUAUGAAGUUCAAGCAAACAGCAAAUGCAUUUACUGAGAAGUACAACCAUUAAGAAAUAAGCAAAUGCUUUAAUUUAUGUGAAUAAAUUGUUUCUUUUACUAUUCAGCAUUUACUAGUGACCGCACAGCCGAAUGGUUUUGCUCAAUAGGGCUUCCGUUGUCUGCAUGUACAGAUGCAAACAUUGCAGCUGAGUGUUGUAUCUUGAGACCUCAGCAUGGCAGAUAAGCAUGAUGGCAGUACUUUUGAUUGCAGAAACCUUAAUGAAGAAAUUUGCUCUGCAACUCUCAAAUCGGUGCAACUGCCUGCAUCUCGUUUCUUCAGAUUCCCUCCUAAAGGCAUAUAGCUUUUCCUUUGGAAUGACAACCAUGAAUGCUGCCAUUUUGAACAUUUGUAAAUGCUCCUCGUUUUCAAGCUUGCUCUGACCCAGUCUUGAAAAAUAUCAAGUAAAUAUUCCAAUU
rnacentral:lncRNA from 1 species